rnacentral:rRNA from 1 species
AUUGAACGCUGGCGGCAGGCCUAACACAUGCAAGUCGAGCGAGCGGCGGACGGGUGCGUAAUGUAUGGGGUCUGCCCGAUAGAGGGGGAUAACUCCUCGAACCGGUAGCUAAUACCGCAUACUAUCGGAUAACCCAUAUGGGAUUAGCUAGUAGGUGAGGUAAUGGCUCACCUAGGCGACGAUCCCUAGCUGGUCUGAGAGGAUGAUCAGGCAGGCCGGGAAUGAGAGACGGCCCAGACUCGUACGGAGGCAGCAGUGGGGAAUAUUGGACAGUGGGCGCAAGCCUGAAGGAGCCAUGCCGCGUGUAUGAGGAAGGCCAGAGGGGUGUAAAGUACGUUCAGUCGGGAGGCGUGACCGACAGAAGAAGCACCGGCUAACUCCGUGCCAGCAGCCGCGGUAAUUC